rnacentral:rRNA from 1 species
GACGAACGCUGGCGGCGCGCUUAACACAUGCAAGUCGAGCGAUGAAAUCUUGACAGAACCCUUCGGGGUGAAGAUAAGAUGGAUUAGCGGCGGACGGGUGAGUAACACGUGAGUAACCUGCCUUAGACAUUGGGAUAGCCUCGGGAAACCGGGAUUAAUACCAAAUGAAAUCACAUAUGCACAUGCAUAAAUGAUCAAAGCUCCGGCGGUCUAAGAUGGACUCGCGUCCCAUUAGCUAGUUGGUGAGGUAACGGCCCACCAAGGCGACGAUGGGUAGCCGGCCUGAGAGGGUGAACGGCCACAUUGGAACUGAGAAACGGUCCAGACUCCUACGGGAGGCAGCAGUGGGGAAUAUUGCACUAUGGAGGGAACUCUGGUGCAGCGACGCCGCGUGAACGAAGAAGGCUUUCUAGUCGUAUUUUCUUUUAUUUGGGAAGUAAUUGACUGGUACCAUAAAAAAAAGCCCCGUCUAACUACGUGCCAUCGGCCUCGGUUUUAUUGAGGGGUGCUAGUGUUGUCCUGAAUCACGGUGCGGAAGUGUUGCGCAGUGUUGAAUGCAUGUCUGGGUGAAAAUGCUGUGGGUUUCUACUGGUGUCUUGUGAACUGGUUAUUGGAUGGAGUGGAUGGAUGUUUGUUUGUGUUUGUUGGGUGUGUGUGGGUGUUUUGUGUGUAUGUGGGGUUGUGUUUGUGUGUUUGUGAGUGUGAUGAAUGAUGAUGUGAGUGCUGGUUGUGAU